CCGAUCCAAAACAAAAGGAAGAUGAAAAGUUUCCUAAUUUCCUAUUAUAUUUAGGGUCUAGGACAAGAGUACAAAGUACUCUUUUUUUGCUAUCCACUGAGAAAAUGUUGCCGGUGGAACUUAAAGCUACGAUUUCUCCUCCUUUGGGUUCUGUUCUAGCUGAUUCCGAUGAGGUUCUUGCAUAUCUUUCUAUCAACCUCACUUCUAUUAGGUGGUCUUGGGCUUCCCUCAUAUGGACAGGUUGUCUCUAGUUCACUCAGAUUCAGAGAAAUAGAGUCUUCUUUCUCUCCAUCUGGUGGUUGAAGAAGCUGGAACACAUCCCUACCCCUCCUUUUUGGUGAAGGUUUUUAUUAGCUAGGGUUUUAAUUCUAGCUGUAGAUAGCACAGAUCUGAUGUCUCAUUCCGGGCAUGCUGUUAAUGUCUUUAUGCUGUGCUUUUUAUUUUCCUUUGAUGUUGCAUGUGAAAACUUUUGAAAUAUUUUGUAUGAUUGUAAAUAUAUGUGAUUCUCAUAUUGGUCAUUUUGAA